rnacentral:piRNA from 1 species
UGGAAAAGCUACGAGGCACACAACGCCAGC